rnacentral:rRNA from 1 species
CUUCGGAUUGCUGGAUAGGAGGGCAACCACCUAUCUGCGAGAAGUUGCUUGAACCUUAUCAUUUAGAGGAAGGAGAAGUCGUAACAAGGUUUCCGUAGGUGAACCUGCGGAAGGAUCAUUG